rnacentral:rRNA from 1 species
UACGGAGGGUGCGAGCGUUGUCCGGAGUCACUGGGCGUAAAGGGCGCGUAGGCGGCGCGGUAAGCGUGCGGUGAAAGCCCGGGGCUCAACCCCGGGUCGGCCGUGCGGACUGCCGGGCUCGAGCACUGUAGAGGCGGGUGGAAUUCCGGGUGUAGCGGUGGAAUGCGUAGAGAUCCGGAAGAACACCGGUGGCGAAGGCGGCCCGCUGGGCAGUGGCUGACGCUGAGGCGCGACAGCGUGGGGAGCAAACAGG